GAUAAAGGGGUAAGGUGUCCUGAUUCUUGUUGGGAUAGAGGGGUAGGGUGUUUUAAUUCUUAUUGUUGGGAUAGAGGGGUAGAGUGUCCUGAUUUUUGUUGUUGGGAUAGAGGGGUAGAGUGUUCUGAUUCUUGUUGUUGGGAUAGAGGGGUAAAGUUUUCUGAUCCUUGUUGUUGGGAUAGAGGGGUAGGGUGUUCUGAUUCAUGUUGUUUGGAUAGAGGGGUAGGGUGUUUUGAUUCUUGUUGUUUGGGAUAGAGGUGUAGAGUGUUCUAAUUCUUGUUGUUGGGAUAGAGGGGUUGGGUCUCCUGAUUCUUGUUGUUGGGAUAGAGGGGUAUGGUCUCCUGAUUCUUGUUGUUGGGAUAGAGGGGUAUGGUGUUCUGAUUCUUGUUGUUGGGAUAGAGGGGUAUGGUGUUCUGAUUCUUGUUGUUGGGAUAGAGUGGUAGGGUGUUCUGAAUCUUGUUGUUGGGAUAAAGGGGUAGAGUUUCCCGAUUCUUGUUGGGAUAGAGGGGUAGAUAGAGCACUGCUAGUAGCUGCUAGCUAGAUAACACUUGAAAACCAGAGCUAGGAAUACAAAUACAAAAUGGGACUGGGCCUUGGUUUGCUUGGUUGCAGCUCAGCAAGUGAUUCCUGUCAUCUGUCCCUGUGAUAAUGUUAAGUUAUACAGUACAUUUUCAAUAAAUAGAUUGUAUGCUUUGUCAGUUUUGAGCAUUUAUGU